rnacentral:lncRNA from 10 species
AGAUUCCAAAGGCCUGAGGACUUGGCACAAAAUGAAGAGGCAGAGGAUGUUGACACAAACUUACAGACUGGGACUCCAAGGAUCAGCCAGAUGAAAUGCUAUGUGCAGAGUCUUCAUUUCCCAGCUCAGUGGUGGACAGCAGAGGACUCUAAGAAUCACCUCAUAAAUGAACUACCUUGACAUGCCCUGACCCAGGCUCUUUAUUUGGAAACCCAGGCUAGGACAGGAAUGAAGAGAAGCCAGACCUUCUGACUCGAAGAUCCAGCCACCUCUUGGGAUGCACACGUUUCUCUUCAACUGCGUGAUGUGAACUGCGUCACAUGGUCAAAUUAUAAUGAAGAAAGGAACCUCUCUUGAGUACAAAGAGCUACCUAUGGUGGUCUGGAGCCGGAGGACCACAGCAUCAAAGGAUAUAAGAUGCAUAGCCAACUGAGGAACCUGAGCAAUUAAAGAGAUCCACAGUUAAGUCACACUUAACUGGCACUUGUGGAAGCCCCGCAAGGCCUGAAGGAGAGCUGACAUAGGCACCCCAGAGAGCCAGAAUCUGGAUCCCAUCUUAAUAAGGCCAUGAACACCAGUGGAGAAGAGGCAGAAACACCAAUGGAUAAGGAACAUUCACAUCUUUCUUCCCAUGUGCCUCUAAGUGCCAGUGCAGGCCCCACAGGCCAAGCUACAGGGAGAAAGGAGAUGACGCAAAGGAACCUAACUGGACUUUAAUCACUAGAAGUGAGAAG